rnacentral:rRNA from 1 species
CCUACGGGAGGCAGCAGUGAGGAAUAUUGGUCAAUGGGCGCGAGCCUGAACCAGCCAAGUAGCGUGAAGGAUGACUGCCCUACGGGUUGUAAACUUCUUUUAUAAAGGAAUAAAGUGAGGCACGUGUGCCUUAUUGUAUGUACUUUAUUAAUAAGGAUCGGCUAACUCCGUUCCAGCAGCCGCGGUAAUACGGAGGAUCCGAGCGUUAUCCGGAUUUAUUGGGUUGAAAGGGAGCGUAGAUGGGUUGUUAAGUCAGGUGUGAAAGUUUGCGGCUCAACCGUAAAAUUGCAAUUGAUACUGGCAGUCUUGAGUACAGUAGAGGUAGGCGGAAUUCGUGGUGUAGCGGUGAAAUGCUUAGAUAUCACGAAGAACUCCGAUUGCGAAGGCAGCUUACUAAACUGCCACUGACAUUGAUGCUCGAAAGUGUGGGUAUUAAACAGGAUUAGAGACCCUAGUAGUC